CCGGAAAAGCUCGAUUUCACGCCGGGAAGGAGAUCAUUUUGCCUAAGGUCUUGCUUCUCAAUUUGCCGUGUAGAGGUGGAAUCGAUCGAACCCGAUUCUAGGGUUCUUGAGCUUUUCUGGAAAAUUUUCACCGGUUCGAUUCGGCCACUUGGAGGACGAGAGGAGUCUCCAUACGAGGAGAAUCACGAGCGACGUCAGGAUUGACC